AAAAUAUGUAAUUUUUUUUAAGAAAACACAUUAAAAAUAUUUGCUGAUAGCGGUGGUUUCUAAUAUUAUUGAUACGCUACUUGCCGCCCGAAGACAUGGCGGAUCGGCUGAAAAAGAUCAAAGGUGCCGACGCUCUUUGUCCCUACUGUAUAUCAUUAUACUGUGGUAUAGGAAAGAACAGUAGGCUCACUCUGCGAAAACGCGUACUAAUAAUUGUCUCUCGCGCAUGACCGAAUCGCACAACCAACAACAUGGCGGCUCUAAACAUAUGUUUGCACAAUGUACAUCAAUAGACUCAAAGAAAAAAGAAGAA